UGCUUAUUGAAAUAUUUGAUAAUAAGUACAUUCUGCCCAGUGAAAUUUUCAACGGCCGCGGUAUCCUGACCGUGCAAAGGUAGCAUAAUCAUUUGCCUCUUAAUUAGUGGCUUGAAUGAAUGAAUAAACACAGAUAUACCUAUAUAUUUAUUUUACAUAAAAAUUAUUCUUCAGGUGAAGAAACCUGAAUUUUCUAAAAAGACAAAAAGACCCUAUCAAGCUUUAUAUUUUACCUUACAUUAAUUUAAAAUAUUUGAUUGGGGCGAUUAUUGAGAAUUAAUAUUCUCUCAACUUCUAUAAGAAUUAUUAUUCUUCCCUCCUUAAUUAUUUAAUAUAAGAAAGCUACUGUAGGGAUAACAGGCUUAUAUUUUCUUAGAGUCCAAAUUAAAGAAAAUGAUUGGCACCUCGAUGUUGGCUUAGGAUUCCUACUCUUUGCAGAAGAAGAGAUAAGGUGGUUUGUUCAACCAUAAAAUUCCU
rnacentral:rRNA from 1 species